AGUAAGAUAAGCUAAUCAAGCUGUUGGGCCCAUACCCCAAUCAUKYMGGUGAAACCCCUGCUUUUACUG
rnacentral:tRNA from 1 species